rnacentral:rRNA from 1 species
UACAGAGGGUGCGAGCGUUGUUCGGAAUUACUGGGCGUAAAGCGGCGCGUAGGUGGUGUGUUAAGUCUGCCGGUCAAAUGCCGAGGCUCAACCUCGUUGCACGCCGGGGAUACUGGCACGCUAGAGACAAGUAGAGGCAAGCGGAAUCCGGGUGUAGCGGUGGAAUGCGUAGAGAUCCGGAAGAACACCGGAGGCGAAGGCGG